UACGAAGGGGGCUAGCGUUGCUCGGAAUGACUGGGCGUAAAGGGCGCGUAGGCGGCAUGGACAGUCAGGUGUGAAAUUCCCGGGCUUAACCUGGGGACUGCAUUUGAUACGUUCAGGCUAGAGUGUGGAAGAGGGUCGUGGAAUUCCCAGUGUAGAGGUGAAAUUCGUAGAUAUUGGGAAGAACACCGGUGGCGAAGGCGGCGACCUGGUCCAUUACUGACGCUGAGGCGCGAAAGCGUGGGGAGCAAACAGG
rnacentral:rRNA from 1 species